CCAGACUCCUACGGGAGGCAGCAGUGAGGAAUAUUGGUCAAUGGGCGAGAGCCUGAACCAGCCAAGUCGCGUGAGGGAAGACGGCCCUACGGGUUGUAAACCUCUUUUGUCGGGGAGCAAAGCGAGUCACGUGUGGCUCAUUGAGAGUACCCGAAGAAAAAGCAUCGGCUAACUCCGUGCCAGCAGCCGCGGUAAUACGGAGGAUGCGAGCGUUAUCCGGAUUUAUUGGGUUUAAAGGGUGCGCAGGCGGAGGUGCAAGUCAGCGGUCAAAUUGCGGGGCUCAACCCCGUACUGCCGUUGAAACUGCAUCCCUUGAGUGCGCGAGAAGUAUGCGGAAUGCGUGGUGUAGCGGUGAAAUGCAUAGAUAUCACGCAGAACUCCGAUUGCGAAGGCAGCAUACCGGCGCGCAACUGACGCUCAUGCACGAAAGCGUGGGUAUCGAACAGGAUUAGAUACCCCUGUA
rnacentral:rRNA from 1 species